rnacentral:rRNA from 1 species
UACGUAGGUGGCAAGCGUUGUCCGGAAUUAUUGGGCGUAAAGCGCGCGCAGGCGGUCCUUUAAGUCUGAUGUGAAAGCCCACGGCUCAACCGUGGAGGGUCAUUGGAAACUGGGGGACUUGAGUACAGAAGAGAAGAGUGGAAUUCCACGUGUAGCGGUGAAAUGCGUAGAGAUGUGGAGGAACACCAGUGGCGAAGGCGGCCCGCUGGGCAACUGCUGACACUGAGGCGCGACAGCGUGGGGAGCAAACAGG